UACGUAGGGGGCUAGCGUUGUCCGGAAUCAUUGGGCGUAAAGAGCGUGUAGGCGGUCCGGUAAGUCCGCUGUGAAAGUCGGGGGCUCAACCCUCGAAUGCCGGUGGAUACUGUCGGGCUAGAGUGCGGAAGAGGCGAGUGGAAUUCCUGGUGUAGCGGUGAAAUGCGCAGAUAUCAGGAGGAACACCUAUUGCGAAGGCAGCUCGCUGGGACGUAACUGACGCUGAGACGCGAAAGCCGCGGGGAGCGAACGGG
rnacentral:rRNA from 1 species